rnacentral:lncRNA from 1 species
GAGGAAGGUGAGGAGAACAAGGUGGACGAGGAGGACGAGGAUUUGUGCUCGUAUUCGAGAUAUAAUCCGAGGUGGUUAGCGGUGGUCGUUGGAAGUGGUUGGUGGUGGUUGAGGGUGAUCGAGGUGGACGAGGAAGAGGACUCAGAAAAGGAGGACGAGGAUGACCAGGAUUUGUGCACUGAAAGUGUAAAAUUUAUAUAAUAUUUAAUAGAGUAGAAGUAGGAGUAGGAUCAGGAGUAGGAUCAGAAGUAGAAGUGGGAGUAGGAUUAGGAGUAGGAACAGAAGUAGAAGUGGAAGUAGGAUCAGAUGCAGGAGUGGGAGUGGGAUCAGGAGUAGGAUCAGAAGUAGAAGUGGUAGCAGGAUCGGGAGUAGGAUCAAGAGUAGGGGUAGGAGUAGAAUCAGGAGUAGGAGAAAGAGACUACCCUACCCUACUCGACCCUAUCCUACUCUACCCUACCCCCUACCCUCCCCUACCCUACCCUACCAUACCCCCUACCCUACCCUAUCCUAUCCUACCCUUCCCGCCCCUACCCUCCACCUAUACUUCCACUUCUAAUCCUACUCCUACUCCUACUCCUAAUCCUACUUCUACUCCGACUACCACUUCUACUUCAAUCUUACUCCUACUUCUACUACGAUCUUACUCCAACUCCUGAUCCUACUCCUAUUCCUACUCUCACUCUUGAACCUACUCCUGAUCCUACUCCUACUCCUGAUCCCACUCCUAUUCCUACUCCUAAUUCUGAAUAUUAUUGUUAUGUAAUAUAUAGACUGCGUGUCGAAUUGAAUCCCAUAUCAAAACGAACAAUUUUUUUAUUGUCAUAUUAUAGCCGAUUAUAGUAGAUAAUCUAGUAUGUUUCCUAUAAAAUUAUGAAAUUUGUAGUAUGCAUCACGUAUUAAUCAUAAAUAAAUCAUAUAUAUCAAUGUCGUA